rnacentral:rRNA from 1 species
AUUGAACGCUGGCGGCAGGCCUAACACAUGCAAGUCGGACGGUAGCACAGAGAGCUUGCUCUCGGGUGACGAGUGGCGGACGGGUGAGUAAUGUCUGGGGAUCUGCCCGAUAGAGGGGGAUAACCACUGGAAACGGUGGCUAAUACCGCAUAACGUCGCAAGACCAAAGAGGGGGACCUUCGGGCCUCUCACUAUCGGAUGAACCCAGAUGGGAUUAGCUAGUAGGCGGGGUAACGGCCCACCUAGGCGACGAUCCCUAGCUGGUCUGAGAGGAUGACAGCCACACUGGAACUGAGACACGGUCCAGACUCCUACGGGAGGCAGCAGUGGGGAAUAUUGCACAAUGGGCGCAAGCCUGAUGCAGCCAUGCCGCGUGUAUGAAGAAGGCCUUCGGGUUGUAAAGUACUUUCAGCGGGGAGGAAGGCGAUGUGGUUAAUAACCGUAUCGAUUGACGUUACCCGCAGAAGAAGCACCGGCUAACUUCGUGCCAGCCGCCGCCGUAA